AUUGAACGCUGGCGGCAGGCCUAACACAUGCAAGUCGAACGAGUGGCGGACGGGUGAGUAAUGUCUGGGAAACUGCCUGAUGGAGGGGGAUAACUACUGGAAACGGUAGCUAAUAACGCAUACCAUCGGAUGUGCCCAGAUGGGAUUAGCUAGUAGGUGGGGUAAAGGCUCACCUAGGCGACGAUCCCUAGCUGGUCUGAGAGGAUGACCAGCCACACUUGACCUGAGCCACGCUCCAGUAUCCUACGUGAUGCAGCAGUGGGGAAUAUUGCACUAUGGGCGCAAGCCUGAUGCAGCCAUGCUGCGUGUAUGAAGAAGGCCUUCGGGUUGUAAAGUACUUUCAGCGGUGAGGCGUUACCCGCAGAAGAAGCACCGGCUAACUCCGUGCCAGCAGCCGCGGUAUUC
rnacentral:rRNA from 1 species